AUAAUUCUGCAGAAAUUAUAACAACCUACAUAUAGUGUACAAUGAUUCAGGUACUAUGUGUUACUAGCGGCAAUAACAAGGUUGCAAAUUGUUCGGAAAUUAAAAUUUGCAGUGUCUCGAUGCCUAUGGAUGGUGUUGACGAUGGCAAUGGUGAGGACCGUUAGUGCCGCUGAGCAAAACCGCGAUGCAAAAGCAGCCUUGCGGUGAAGAUGGAAGUGAGGACAGACAAAAAGCACAUACAAAAAAA